GUCAAAGAUCAAAGUGUUGUAUAUGUGUGGCUUUAUUUCUUGCUUCUCUAAUUUGUUCUAUUGAUCUAUGUGUCUGAUUUUGUACCAGUACCAUACUGUUUUUUAUUAUUGUAGCCUUGUAGUGUUGUUUGAUGUUGGGUGGCAAUUGAAGUCAGGUGGUCUUUGUUCUCUGUUCCAAAAAUCCUCUGCACUCUUAUCUUUUCAACCUUUUCUCCCUCAACCUGUGACAGCCAGUGAAAUUUUUAAUGUCUCCAUAGUUUUACCUUUUCUAGAACAUCAUACAGUUGGAAUCACAUAGAAGUGACUUUUCAGAUUGCCUUAUUUCACUUAUUAAUAUGCAUUUAUGGUUCUUCCAUGUUUUUUAUGGCUUGAUAU
rnacentral:lncRNA from 1 species